ACCUACGGGGCGCAGCAGUGGGGAAUAUUGCACAAUGGGCGAAAGCCUGAUGCAGCAACGCCGCGUGAGCGAUGAAGGCCUUCGGGUCGUAAAGCUCUGUCCUCAAGGAAGAUAAUGACGGUACUUGAGGAGGAAGCCCCGGCUAACUACGUGCCAGCAGCCGCGGUAAUACGUAGGGGGCAAGCGUUGUCCGGAAUGACUGGGCGUAAAGGGAGUGUAGGCGGCUUAUCAAGUUAGAUGUGAAAUCCCGCGGCUUAACCGCGGAACUGCAUCUAAAACUGGUGAGCUGGAGUGCAGGAGAGGUG
rnacentral:rRNA from 1 species